rnacentral:rRNA from 1 species
GGGGGAAAAUUAAUAAAAUUUUAUAUAAAUAAUAAAAAAAGUUUUAAUAAGGGGGGUAUUAAAGUAUUUUUUUAGAAAAAAUAUAAAUUUUUAUAGUUAAAUAGUAUUAUAUAAGAAAUUUGAAAUAAAAUUGAAAAUAAAUUAUUUAAGAAGUAAAUUUAAUUUAUUGUAUCUUGUGUAUCAGAGUUUAUUUAAAAAUAUUUUUUAAAUAAGAAAAUCUCGAAUUUGAAAGAGUUAAUUAAUUAUAAAAUUUAAUGUAGCAUAAUUAUUUUAAAUAAUUAAUUAGAAAUGAAAUGUUAAUCGUUUUCAAAGAUAUCUAGUUUUUUUAGAAAAAAAUUUAAUUUUAAAUUUAAAAAAUUUUAUAAUUAAUUUUUUUUUAAUUAUAAAAUUUUAAAAUUAAAUAUAUUGAGGGAUAAGCUUUAAUUUAAAUUAUUAUAAUAAAAAUAAAUUAAAUUAAAAAUUUUAAAAUUUAUAUUGUUUAAAAAUUGUAAUUUAUUGUAAAUAAUUUUAUUAAAAAAAAAAAUUUAAAUUAAAUUUAAUUUUUUAUAAAAAGAAUAUUUUUUAAUAAGAUAAAAUUAGUAAUAAUGAUAAAAUUAGUAUAUUUUAAAUAGGAAAAAUUAAUUUAAAUUUAAAUUAAUUAAAAGGAAUUCGGCAAAAUUUUAUAUUCACUUGUUUAUCAAAAACAUGUCUUUUUGAAUAAUAAUUUAAAGUCUAAUCUGCCCACUGAUAUAACAUUAAAGGGCUGCAGUAUAUUGACUGUACAAAGGUAGCAUAAUCAUUAGUCUUUUAAUUGAAGACUUGUAUGAAAGAUUUGAUGAGAUAUAAACUGUCUCUUAGUUAUUUAUAGAAAUUAAUUUUUUAGUUAAAAAGCUAAAAUAUUUAUAAAAGACGAGAAGACCCUAUAGAGUUUUAUAAUUAAAAUUAUAAUAAUUGAAUAUAUAAAUUGAAGUUAAAAUAAUUUUAUUUAUUUUAUUGGGGUGAUAGAAAAAUUUAUUUAACUUUUUUUAAAAAUUAAACAUAUAUAAGUGAAAAUAUGAUCCAAUAGAUAUUGAUUAAAAGAAAAAAUUACCUUAGGGAUAACAGCGUAAUUUUUUUUUUUAGUACAAAUAAAAAGAAAAGUUUGCGACCUCGAUGUUGGAUUAAGAUAAAAUUUAAAUGUAAAAGUUUAAAAUUUUGAUCUGUUCGAUCAUUAAAAUCUUACAUGAUCUGAGUUCAAACCGGUGUGAGCCAGGUUGGUUUCUAUCUUUAUAUAAUUAAAAUAUUUUAGUACGAAAGGAUCAAAUAUUUUAAAUAAUUUAAUUAAUGAGAAUUUUAUUAAUAAAUUAAUUUAA